AUAUACGACCGUACCGCAAACCGACACUGGUGCGCGAGAUGAGUAUUCUAAGGCGCCUGAGAGAACUCAGGAGAAGGAACUCGGCAAAUUGACACCGUAACUUCGGAAGAAGGUGUGCCCUAUUAGUGUGUAGUGAACAACGAAGCAUGAAUGGGUUGCAAAAAAUCGGUGGCUGCGACUGUUUAUUAAAAACACAGCACUCUGCAAACACGAAAGUGGACGUAUAGGGUGUGACGCCUGCCCGGUGCUGGAAGAUUAAAUGAUGGGGUGCAAGCUCUUGAUUGAAGUCCCAGUAAACGGCGGCCGUAACUAUAACGGUCCUAAGGUAGCGAAAUUCCUUGUCGGGUAAGUUCCGACCUGCACGAAUGGCGUAACGAUGGCCACACUGUCUCCUCCUGAGACUCAGCGAAGUUGAAAUGUUUGAGAUGAUGCAAUCUCCCCGCGGAAAGACGGAAAGACCCCAUGAACCUUUACUGUAGCUUUGUAUUGGACUUUGAACAGAUCUGUGUAGGAUAGGUGGGAGGCUUUGAAGCAGGGUCGCUAGAUCUUGUGGAGCCAACGUUGAAAUACCACCCUGGUGUGUUUGAGGUUCUAACCUAGGUCCAUUAUCUGGAUCGGGGACAGUGCAUGGUAGGCAGUUUGACUGGGGCGGUCUCCUCCCAAAGCGUAACGGAGGAGUUCGAAGGUACGCUAGUUACGGUCGGACAUCGUGACGAUAGUGCAAUGGCAUAAGCGUGCUUAACUGCGAGACUGACAAGUCGAGCAGAUGCGAAAGCAGGACAUAGUGAUCCGGUGGUUCUGUAUGGAAGGGCCAUCGCUCAACGGAUAAAAGGUACUCUGGGAUAACAGGCUGAUACCGCCCAAGAGUUCAUAUCGACGGCGGUGUUUGGCACCUCGAUGUCGGCUCAUCUCAUCCUGGGGCUGUAGCCGGUCCCAAGGGUAUGGCUGUUCGCCAUUUAAAGAGGUACGUGAGCUGGGUUUAAAACGUCGUGAGACAGUUUGGUCCCUAUCUUCCGUGGGCGCUGCAGAUUUGAGGAAGCCUGCUCCUAGUACGAGAGGACCGGAGUGGACACACCUCUGGUGUAUCGGUUGUCACGCCAGUGGCAUUGCCGAGUAGCUAAGUGUGGAAGAGAUAACCGCUGAAAGCAUCUAAGCGGGAAACUCGUUUCAAGAUGAGAUCUGCCGGGGCCUUGAGCCCCCUAAAGAGUCGUUCAAGACCAGGACGUUGAUAGGUCAGGUGUGGAAGC
rnacentral:rRNA from 1 species